rnacentral:rRNA from 1 species
UACGUAGGGUGCGAGCGUUAAUCGGCAUUACUGGGCGUAAAGUGUGCGCAGGCGGCCGAGCAAGUCGAGUGUGAAAGCCCCGGGCUUAACUUGGGAAUUGCGCUCGAAACUACUUGGCUGGAGUGUGGCAGAGGAAGGUGGAAUUCCAGGUGUAGCGGUGAAAUGCGUAGAGAUCUGGAGGAACACCGAUGGCGAAGGCAGCCUUCUGGGCCAACACUGACGCUCAUGCACGAAAGCGUGGGGAGCAAACAGG